CAGAUAUUUUCUUGUCAAUCAAUAUAGUUGAUGUGUGUGAGUCUGACACACACAAGCACACCAUCCAGAUCGACCUGAAGCAAUACGUGGAGCGUGAAGUCGCUGUUAUUCCAUCCUUCAAAUCGAAGUUAUAGUAUUAUACAUAUUUUAUCUAUUCUUCAUACAUUGUUCCUGUAGAAUUUGCAAGGAAAUUAUGUUCAAGACCUUGUUGCCUAUGCUGUGCAGAGCUCAUUGUUACUUGUUCGACUAAUGGUUUUUUUCACUCUUUGGAUCUAACAAGCGACCGAAAAACUCCAAAUGAUCACGCUUAUAUGGGAAUGUGGGAUAAGUCCGGUGAGCCCGACACGGUGAGGGAUAGGAUACUGCUGGAGCUCGAGCAUGAGUUCCUUGAGGUCUACACGACAAAAAUUGACAAGGUGAACCAGAGCCGGGUGCAGCUGAGGCAGGCCAUUGCCGAGGCCGAGCAGAGCUUGCUGACAUCUGUUCGUCCAUGGGUGAAACCGCCCAUGCACGUUAGACUGGUUUGUUUCUACCUCCACCAGGUAAAGGAGGUACUGUACGAUUAGAUCAAACAAUGUAAGUUGAGUUCUUGUGGAACAAUGCUGAUAGGCGAAGGAAGAAAAGGAGAUUUAGUAGAGAACUAGAACCUACAAUUUCUGUUGUAAGAUGAUAGUAAUAAUGCGUGCAUAGUUGUUCUUAUGGAGCCAAACCGUUUGGAACUCCAUUAGCAGUUAAUAUUUUUACAAACUGUUUGUUUAUUACCAUUGUGUCAAUAUAUUAAGGGAGAG